GAUGAACGCUGGCGGCGUGCUUAACACAUGCAAGUCGAACGGAAAGGCCCAAGCUUGCUUGGGUACUCGAGUGGCGAACGGGUGAGUAACACGUGGGUGAUCUGCCCUGCACUUCGGGAUAAGCCUGGGAAACUGGGUCUAAUACCGGAUAGGACCACAUUUUGGAUGGUGUGGUGGAAAGUUUUUCGGUGUGGGAUGAGCUCGCGGCCUAUCAGCUUGUUGGUGGGGUAAUGGCCUACCAAGGCGUCGACGGGUAGCCGGCCUGAGAGGGUGUACGGCCACAUUGGGACUGAGAGACGGCCCAGACUCCUACGGGAGGCAGCAGUGGGGAAUAUUGGACAAUGGGCGCAAGCCUGAUGCAGCGACGCCGCGUGGGGGAUGACGGCCUUCGGGUUGUAAAAUCCUUUCGCUAGGGACGAAGCGUUUUUGUGACGGUACCUGGAGAAGAAGCACCGGCUAACUACGUG
rnacentral:rRNA from 1 species